rnacentral:rRNA from 1 species
GUAGUCCACGCCUUAAACGAUGAUAAUUAGACGUGGGGAUUGGUUGACAAUCUCUGUGUCGAAGCUAACGCGUUAAAUUAUCCGCCUGGGGAGUACGGUCGCAAGACUAAAACUCAAAGGAAUUGACGGGGACCCGCACAAGCGGUGGAUUAUGUGGUUUAAUUCGAAGCAACGCGCAGAACCUCACCUGGGUUUGACAUCCAGAGAAAAGCAGCAGAGAUGUUGCCUUGAGCUAUAGCAAUAUAGCUCCUCUGAGACAGGUGCUGCAUGGCUGUCGUCAGCUCGUGUUGUGAAAUAUUGGGUUAAGUCCCGCAACGAGCGCAACCCCUAUUCUUAGUUGCCAGCAUUAAGUUGGGCACUCUAGGAAGACUGCCUGCGUUAAGCAGGA